GACGAACGCUGGCGGCGUGCUUAACACAUGCAAGUCGAACGGAAAGGCCCUGCUUUUGUGGGGUGCUCGAGUGGCGAACGGGUGAGUAACACGUGAGUAACCUGCCCUUGACUUUGGGAUAACUUCAGGAAACUGGGGCUAAUACCGGAUAGGAGCUCCUGCUGCAUGGUGGGGGUUGGAAAGUUUCGGCGGUUGGGGAUGGACUCGCGGCUUAUCAGCUUGUUGGUGGGGUAGUGGCUUACCAAGGCUUUGACGGGUAGCCGGCCUGAGAGGGUGACCGGCCACAUGGGGACUGAGAUACGGCCCAGACUCCUACGGGAGGAAGCAGUGGGGAAUAUUGCACAAGGGGCGGAAGCCUGAUGCAGCAACGCCGCGUGCGGGAUGACGGCCUUCGGGUUGUAAACCGCUUUCGCCUGUGACGAAGCGUGAGUGACGGUAAUGGGUAAAGAAGCACCGGCUAACUACGU
rnacentral:rRNA from 1 species